UACGUAGGGUGCAAGCGUUGUCCGGAAUUAUUGGGCGUAAAGAGCUCGUAGGCGGUUUGUCGCGUCGAAUGUGAAAACCCGGGGCUCAACCCCGGGCCUGCAUUCGAUACGGGCAGACUAGAGUUCGGUAGGGGAGUCUGGAAUUCCUGGUGUAGCGGUGAAAUGCGCAGAUAUCAGGAGGAACACCGGUGGCGAAGGCGGGCCUCGGGGCCGACACUGACGCUGAGGAGCGAAAGCGUGGGGAGCAAACAGG
rnacentral:rRNA from 1 species